UUGAGGGGAAAAACGGUCUGUCUAGUUACUGGACCAGAUAAAAUGAGACGGAGAGCCUCGAAUGGACCACCUCUACCGCAAUCUGCAUAAUACUCCUGAUGAGCCCAGCAGACCAAUGCAACGCAACCACCAGCAACAACGACCGACUCCCAACCAUAGCGGAUUCCCAGCUAACCACAUCAUCACACAACCAGUUUGCAAGCCUACUUGCUGCAGCUCAAACCCACUUCAACACCACCAAGAAUGGGCCCCUUACUCCAAUGAAGAGUUACCAAAUGGAAAAUGAGUGACCUAACAUGCUAGGCAUAAAUUUUACUAAUGUACAUAUUGAUCAUUUACUUUUACUUUUACUAAUUUCUUUGAAUUUGCAAUUUUACUAAUGUACAUAUUGAUUACUUUAUUAAUGAUUGAUUUUUACGAAUUUCUUUGAAUUUUAUUCCUAUUAUUCUGUGUUUUAACUUGUUUUACCCUCAUUUGUAAUCCUGUGACAUAAUAUAUCACCUGUAAUAAGUGUUGAUCUUAUGAUCAAAAAGGGAGGAACUGUCGUGGAAAUAUCAAUCAUAACUAUAAAUAUACAAUCACAUACAAAUUAUAUUAACCUGUUUAUAUAAUUAUUACAUUAGAAGGAACUGUAUACAUUCUCCCUGUAACUUAAAACAAAUCCCUUCCUCUCUUAAACUGAGAGAGGUUAAGUUAAUUUGUAUUCAAGUUCCCACUGGAGCCAGUAAGUCUGGUUUUGUGACCAGGCCAAUCGACUGACUUCUUUGUUGUGUAAACUCGUUUAGAGCCAAACCUGCAGACAUGUCCAAUACCCACCCAUUGUAUUACAAAUUUACUUGGCCUAAGGUCACUCCCACUCCCUUCCCACAAUGAAAAUGUUUCCUAUAAGAAUCUUGUGAAUCUAUUGUCUCGUCGAAUGUGUUCUCGGUAAACUUUGCUGCCAGUACUUUUCCCAUGAUCAUGCCUUAAGAUUAAAUCAAAUAUUUCGCUGUCCGACGUGUCCGUGAGAGAACUUUCUCUUCAUCAGAAAGCAAACAAUAAAAAUACGUAAAAUUUAAAAGAAAAUAAAU
ensembl:lncRNA